GGNACCUUAGCUCAGUUGGUAGAGCAAUGGACUGAAAAUCCAUGUGUCCCUGGUUCGAUUCCUGGAGGUACCACAA
rnacentral:tRNA from 1 species